rnacentral:rRNA from 1 species
AACGAACGCUGGCGGCAUGCCUAACACAUGCAAGUCGAACGAGACCUUCCGGUCUUGUGGCGCACGGGUGCGUAACGCGUGGUAACCUGCCCUUAGGUUCGGAAUAACUCCCCGAAAGGUGUCCUAAUACCGGUUAAUGUCUUCGGACCAAAGAUCUAUCGCCUUUGGAUGGGCCCGCGUUGGAUUAGCUAGUUGGUAGGGUAAAAGCCUACCAAGGCGACGAUCCAUAGCUGGUGGGAGAGGAUGAUCAGCCACACUGGGACUGAGACACGGCCCAGACUCCUACGAGAGGCAGCAGUGGGGAAUAUUGGACAAUGGGCGAAAGCCUGAUCCAGCAAGGCCGCGUGAGUGAUGAAGGCCUUAGGGUUGUAAAGCUCUUUUACCCGGGAUGAUAAUGACAGUACCGGGAGAAUAAGCUCCGGCUAACUCCGU